UACGUAGGGGGCUAGCGUUGUCCGGAAUCAUUGGGCGUAAAGCGCGUGUAGGCGGUCCGGUAAGUCCGCUGUGAAAGUCGGGGGCUCAACCCUCGAAUGCCGGUGGAUACUGUCGGGCUAGAGUGCGGAAGAGGCGAGUGGAAUUCCUGGUGUAGCGGUGAAAAUGCGCAGAUAUCAGGAGGAACACCAAUUGCGAAGGCAGCUCGCUGGGACGUUACUGACGCUGAGACGCGAAAGCGUGGGGAGCAAACAGG
rnacentral:rRNA from 1 species